UCGGAUUUUGGAGCCAUUUCUUUGUUGGAGAAGUUGAGCGAAAAUCUCCACCGGCGAGAGGUUGAGCAAAAAUCUCUACCGGCGAAACAAACUCGAAUUUUCGCUUUAUAAAUAGAGGGGUUCUUCUUCACCUUUCGAGGGGAGCGGAGGUUCCUCUUCGUCGAAAAAAAGAAGUGAAAAGUGAAAAGAGGAAAAAGAGAAAAGAGGGCUUCGAUUUGUGGGAAAGGAAGAAGAAGAAAAGUCAAAAGAAAAGAGUUUGCAGAAAAUGCAGAGAGGUACAGUAGGAGAGAGAGAGGGGAUGUUUGGCAGAGAGUGAGAAGAAAAAGAAACAAAAAAAAAGGGGGGAGAAGAACACUGUUCUUCUUCCCCGGUGGGCUCGUCCACCGCCAACCGCACUGGUCACCUCGCCAGCACCGCCUCACGCCGGACGCCCGUGCCUGCACCUCCACCGCAAAGCACCUCCGCACAGCCACUUUGAGGUUUCCUCCCGCGAGCUCGCGUCUAGCCCCCGCUCCCCGCCGUCGCGACCCAGCCCCGACGCUAGCAGAUCUGUGAUCCCCUGCAGCAGCCGCAUGCCGAGCCGGUUCACCGCGCUUGCUCCUCCACCCGAGUGCCGACUCUGCUUCCGCUGCUAUGGCCCGAGCUCUCCCCUGUUGCUCGAUCAUCGUCUCCUCCCGACGACCAGACAUUCCCCGCUGCUGCGGAUCGCGACACCAGCAGCUCACCGAAGCCCGCUGACACCGCCGUUACUGCUUCCCCUUUUGCCGUCGCUGAGCACCACUAAAGCUCGACGCUGCGCCCUCCUCCGAACCGACGCCUGCGACCUGCCGCGAUCUGCAGUGCCCAUCACCGCACGCCUCUGUCCCUUCCGCAGGUCGCCGUGCUGCCCUCCGACCCAGCCGCCGGACUUCU
rnacentral:lncRNA from 1 species